rnacentral:lncRNA from 1 species
GUAUGCUAUACGAAGUUAUUACGCAGCUCGUGUUUCUUCCAGCCCAUCGUUUCUCAUGAUGUACUCUGCAUAGAAGUUCAAUAAGCAGGGUGACAAUAUACAGCCUCAAUGUACUCCUUUUCCUAUUUGGAACCAGUCUGUUGUUCCAUGUCCAGUUCUAACUGCUUCCUGACCUGCAUACAGAUUUCUCAAGAGGCAGGUCAGGUGGUCUGGUAUUCCCAUCUCUUUCAGAAUUUUCCACAGUUUAUUGUGAUCCACACAGUCAAAGGCUUUGGCAUAGUCAAUAAAGCAGAAAUAGAUGUUCUCUUGCUUUUUCCAUGAUCCAGCGGAUGUUGGCAAUUUGAUCUCUGGUUCCUCUGCCUUUUCUAAAACCAGCUUGAACAUCAGGGAGUUCAUGGUUCACGUAUUGCUGAAGCCUGGCUUGGAGAAUUUUGAGCAUUACUUUACUAGCAUGUGAGAUGAGUGCAAUUGUGUGGUAGUUUGAGCAUUCUUUGGCAUUGCCUUUCUUUGGGUUUGGAAUGAAAACUGACUUUUUCCAGUCCUGUGGCCACUGCUGAGUUUUCCAAGUUUGCUGGCAUAUUGAGUGCAGCACUUUCACAGCAUCAUCUUUCAGGAUUUGAAAUAGCUCCACUGGAAUUCCAUCACCUCCACUAGCUUUGUUCAUAGUGAUGCUUUCUAAGGCCCACUUGACUUCACAUUCCAGGAUGUCUGGCUCUAGGUGAGUGAUCACACCAUCUUGAUUAUCUGGAUCAUGAAGAUCUUUUUUGUGCAGUUCUUCUGUGUAUUCAUGCCACCUCUUCUUAAUAUCUUCUGCUUCUUUUAGGUCCACACCAUUUCUGUCCUUUAUUGAGCCCAUCUUUGCAUGAAAUGUUCCCUUGGUAUCUCUAAUUUUCUUGAAGAGAUCUCUAGUCUUUCCCAUUCUGUUGUUUUCCUCUAUUUCUUUGCAUUGAUCACUGAAGAAGACUUUCUUAUCUCUCCUUGCUAUUCUUUGGAACUCUGCAUUCAUAUGCUUAUAUCUUUCCUUUUCUCCUUGGCUUUUCACCUCUCUUCUUUUCACAGCUAUUUGUAAGGCCUCCCCAGACAGCCAUUUUGUUUUUUAACAUUUAUUUUCCAUGGGGAUGGUCUUGAUCCCUGUCUCUUGUACAAUGUCAUGAACCUCAUUCCAUAGUUCAUCAGGCACUCUAUCAAAUCUAGGUCCUUAAUUCUAUUUCUCACUUCCAUUGUACAAUCAUAAGGGAUUUGAUUUAUAAAUAUCAUGAUGGAGAAGAAGAAAUGAUGUAAUCUGUUACAUAUAAAUUUGCAUGUUAAGUGUUUGGCUGGAAAGGGGUAACCUCUGCAGCUCCUCUCUGUGGAAAUUCUUUUUUAGCAUCUUAAAACACAGUGUUUCAUCCAACUUGGAGAGGAAAGACUUGCAUUUGAUUCCUUAAAGUCUCAUAGUAACAUGUUAAAUAUGUCAAGAUAUUAUUUUUCUAGAGCUAAAUUCUUUUUAUAAUAAAUUACUUUUAUUAAUGAAAACAUAACUUCACAGGAAUUACUUAAAUGCAUUUUUAAAUCUGUUUUUAUGAUGGAUUAUAGAAGACAGGAUAAAUGAGCUGCCUGUGAUUUUGAUUUAACUUUCAAACACAUGUUAAUUCUAAGCUUUCUAAUGUUUACACAUGGUCAGCCCUGUGUUACAAUCAGUCCUAUUUAUAUUAACUAAAUGAAUGAAAAUAAUGAAUUUAAAUAAUGAAAUAUGUGAAAAAUUCACUCCACGAAUAACAAUUUAUAAUGAUGUGUACAGAAUAGCUCUUUAAUAUAAGGAUUUAGUUGUAGUCAUCUUGUACACUAAUGCCAAAUCUCAAUACUUGUAAAAAGAAAGAUCUAAAUAUUUACCCAACCCCAUAAUAUAGCCCUCAUUUAAUUUU